rnacentral:rRNA from 1 species
GCACAAGCGGUGGAGCAUGUGGUUAAUUCGAAGCAACGCGAAGAACCUUACCAGGUCUUGACAUCCCCUGACAACCCAAGAGAUUGGGCGUUCCCCCUUCGGGGGACAGGGUGACAGGUGGUGCAUGGUUGUCGUCAGCUCGUGUCGUGAGAUGUUGGGUUAAGUCCCGCAACGAGCGCAACCCUCGCCUCUAGUUGCCAGCAUUCGGUUGGGCACUCUAGAGGGACUGCCGGCGACAAGUCGGAGGAAGGUGGGAUGACGUCAAGUCCUCAUGGCCUUUAUGCUUAGGGCUACACACGUGCUACAAUGGGUGGUACAAAGAGAAGCCAACUCGCGAGAGCGCGCCAAUCUCAAAAAGCCAUCCUCAGUUCGGAUUGGAGUCUGCAACUCGACUCCAUGAAGUUGGAAUCGCUAGUAAUCGCGGAUCAGCAUGCCGCGGUGAAUACGUUCCCGGGCCUU